rnacentral:rRNA from 1 species
CCUACGGGUCGCACCAGUGGGGAAUAUUGGACAAUGGGGGCAACCCUGAUCCAGCAAUGCCGCGUGUAUGAAGAAGGUCUUCGGAUUGUAAAGUACUUUCGACAGGGACGAUGAUGACGGUACCUGUAGAAGAAGCCCCGGCUAACUUCGUGCCAGCAGCCGCGGUAAUACGAAGGGGGCUAGCGUUACUCGGAAUGACUGGGCGUAGAGGGCGCGUAGGCGGCUUAUACAGUCAGAUGUGAAAUUCCUGGGCUUAACCUGGGACCUGCAUUUGAUACGUAUGGGCUAGAGUGUGAAAGAGGAUUGUGGAAUUCCAAGUGUAGAGGUGAAAUUCGUAGAUAUUUGGAGGAACACCGGUGGCGAAGGCGGCAAUCUGGUCACGACUGACGCUGAGGCGCGAAAGCGUGGGGAGCAAACAGGAUUAGAUACCCCCGUAGUC